rnacentral:rRNA from 1 species
UACGGAGGGGGCCAGCGUUGUUCGGAAUUACUGGGCGUAAAGCGCGCGUAGGCGGGCUGUUAAGUCGGGGGUGAAAUCCCGGGGCUCAACCCCGGAACUGCCUUCGAUACUGGCAGCCUAGAGGACGGAAGAGGUCAGUGGAAUGGCGAGUGUAGAGGUGAAAUUCGUAGAUAUUCGCCGGAACACCAGUGGCGAAGGCGACUGACUGGUCCGUUUCUGACGCUGAGGUGCGAAAGCGUGGGGAGCAAACAGG